CGAUCACGGCGGAGUCACCCACACUCCCUCCGCUCUCGCCCCCACAGCCACACAACCGACGGCCUCGUCUCCCACCGCCGCCGCCGCCUCUCUCUCGCACGCCUCGCCGGCACCUCUCCCUCACCCGCGUCACCGGCGCCUCUCCCUCUCGGGCCGUUGUUGCCUCUCCGUUGGCCCCAUCGUUGUCGCCCCUGACGUGCCGCGGCGCCGUGACCCGGCCUCACAGGCACGACCAGGGUGACAACAGCUCCCCGACGCCGCCGCCUUCCGCAAGGAGCGACGACAGCUCGAAGCUCUGCGGCACGGCGUGCGCUGAGCGACGCGCCGCGGGGGCACCACCGCCUCAGCCACCGGCGUGGCCGACCACCCGUCCACGUCCCCAUCGCUGCCGCCGGCCGGCCACACGACCUCACGCUCGUCCAGCUCGAAGCACGCGCUGUCGUGGCCCGCCUCCGGCUGCUUCAGCAGGCCAAGAAACCGAAACGCCCCCCACGCCCGGCGACCUCGGCAUCUCCAUGGACCGUCUCAGCAAGCGCUACCUCGCCCGGCUCCCGCAUUGCUGAUGCAAGCCAAGAAACAGGGAGUGCCGGCAGUAGUACUCUGAAUCCAUCAAUGCAACUGAAUCCAAACAUGUGAAUCAAGUUGUGGCAGUUUGUGUUCUUCACUGGUGGCAUCGUGUUUCUGACACUGAUAUUGAAUGGUUCUACCACAUAAUUUUGGCUACACGCACUUGGUAUGGACAACCUGUCAGUAACAAAGCUUCGCAUGUUGAAUUAUGCUAGACAUGAAAUUCUAAACAAGACAUUAGAAGCUUUUGGUGAUCUCAAAGAUGAUGAGGAGCUUGGUCCUGCUGACCAGGUUACAGUUAAUAAAUAUAUCACAGGCUUGAGUAACUUGGAAGAUGAACAUGCACAUCCACAUGAUGACAAUCAUAAUCACAUACAUACCAUGAAUUUAAGGGAUGGCCGAGUGCGUAUUUUGAAUGGCAGGCAGGCUUUUUGUUUGCUUUUCUUUUUUGCACUUAAAUAGUUGGCUUGAUACGUCCAUAAUUCUAUCUUGUCUCUGUAUUUUAUGGAGAUGUUUAGUUUCAUACUAAAUGUGAUCAAUUAACAAAGAUUAUUUUUCCUUUUUGUAAA